rnacentral:rRNA from 1 species
UACGUAGGGGGCAAGCGUUGUCCGGAUUUAUUGGGCGUAAAGAGCGUGUAGGCGGACAGACAAGUCAGCUGUGAAAACUCGAGGCUCAACCUCGAGACGUCGGUUGAAACCGUCUGGCUAGAGGCCGGAAGAGGAGAGUGGAAUUCCCGGUGUAGCGGUGAAAUGCGUAGAUAUCGGAAGGAACACCUGUGGCGAAAGCGGCUCACUGGACCAUAACUGACGCUGAGGCACGAAAGCUAGGGGAGCAAACAGG